GACGAACGCUGGCGGCGUGCUUAACGCAUGCAAGUCGAACGGAAAGGCCCUGCUUUUGUGGGGUGCUCGAGUGGCGAACGGGUGAGUAACACGUGAGUAACCUGCCCUUGACUUUGGGAUAACUUCAGGAAACUGGGGCUAAUACCGGAUAGGAGCUCCUGCUGCAUGGUGGGGGUUGGUAAGUUUCGGCGGUUGGGGAUGGACUCGCGGCUUAUCAGCUUGUUGGUGGGGUAGUGGCUUACCAAGGCUUUGACGGGUAGCCGGCCUGAGAGGGUAACCGGCCACAUUGGGACUGAGAUACGGCCCAGACUCCUACGGGAGGCAGCAGUGGGGAAUAUUGCACAAUGGGCGGAAGCCUGAUGCAGCAACGCCGCGUGCGGGAUGACGGCCUUCGGGUUGUAAACCGCUUUCGCCUGUGACGAAGCGUGAGUGACGGUAAUGGGUAAAGAAGCACCGGCUAACUACGUG
rnacentral:rRNA from 1 species